rnacentral:sRNA from 1 species
GCUCUUUGUAUUUUCCUGACUUUUCGCAGAGGGAUUUGAAAAGAGAGCCAUCCUUGCGAAGGAGAUUCUGAGUGAUUGAUUAGCCAGAUCCGUAACCGUACCAGCUGGGUUAGUUCCAGUCACUCACAAUUGGAGUAUCAAACUCAGCGACCUCUCCAUCCGAUAGAACAAGAAGCCUGUCAUAAUCUAUGACGGAAGACAACCUGUGCGCAAUAGUCAACAGUGUCGAAUCCCUGAACUCUGAACGGAUCGCUGCUUGAAUGGCUUCAUCAGUCGCAAAGUCCACAGAUGCAGUGGCUUCAUCCAUGAUCUGUGGCAUACGAAAUUAGCUUGCCGUUACAAGUCGAUAGUCGCAUCGCUUACAAUCAGGUUGGACCUCCUCAACAGAGCCCUUGCCAUAGCGAUUAACUGUCGUUGACCUUGUGAGAAGUUACUCCCCCCGGCCGAUACUUCUGUAGUGAGGGUAAUGGUUGUUCUGACAUUGGCUGAACUAAGAGCAGACCCCAGGGCGGAUGAUGCAGAUGACUGUACUGCUGAUUCCUCGGCAACUAUCGCAUCGAGACGGCGGCUGGAAGCGACACGACUGGGAGCGCGACUUGCCAAGGGGGUGACCCCUUGAAGUCCAAGAUUCACUCUGGCAAGAGCGUCGUAGAGUUCCGCAUCGGUGUGUUCGGCGAAAGGAUCGAGGUUCUCUCGAACGGUACCAGAGAAUAAGACAGCAUCUGUAGAAACAUCAGCGAGGGACAACCAAGAGAAUUUCCACAAAUGGGCCUCACCUUGAGGGAUGUAGGUAAUACGGGAGCGCUGCAGCCCUGUUAGUACUCGGUAACGUACAGUUACGAGAAACUCACUAAGUCAUCAACACCAAUUUUGGUGAUAUCUAUACCAUCCAGGAAGAUACUUCCAGAAGUGGGGUCGGUGAAUCUCAACAAGCUCAUACCCAAAGUCGACUUUCCGCUUCCGGUACGACCAAUCAAACCAAUCUUUUCCCCCGCUUUGACGUCGAACGACCCCUUGAAAACAGUAGGAAGAUCUGGAGCGUAUUUGAUUUCGACAUCCCGGACGCUGAGGAAGUCAGAAGCACCUGUGUUGGCCGGCCAAUAUGCAGGUGGUCGAUUGCUGGCGAUGACAGCAGGAGGCUCCUGAGGGACAGACAAAUACUCCUGCACACGCUCUACUGAAUUGAAAUCCAUCUCAAGCUGACCCCAGAAUCGAGAAACCCAGUAACAAGCGGAGACAAAUGACUGAGCUGAGACGAUCGCCAUACCGGCGGAACCUGCGGGAACGGCUCCACUGAGAGCGAGCAAAGUCGUCAACGCAACAGAAAUCGCACCAAGGAAGUCGAAGCGGAGGAGGAGCUGAGACAAGGUGUCAACCCUAAUGUAAUCAAACUUGAUGCACUCAACAUACCCAACGGUUCAUCAUCUGCGUUCAUAAUGUCAGAAAGGAUCUCAGCACUUAUGAUUGGAGUAACUCACCCAGUAAUAAUAGAACGCUUGGUUUGUUUGGUCAACUUGUUUACACAGUUGUUCCAUGAAUCGUGCCUCUGCAGAGAAAGCUCGGACAGAAAUAACACCAUCAAGGAGUUCGGCGAAGCCGGAACUAAA